GCCUAAAGCGUCCGUAGCCGGCUCUGUUAGUUUUCGGUUAAAUCCAUAUGCUCAACAUAUGGGCCGCCGGGAAUACUGCAAAGCUAGGGAGUGGGAGAGGUAGACGGUACUCCGUAGGAAGGGGUAAAAUCCUUUGAUCUAUGGAUGACCACCAGUGGCGAAGGCGGUCUACCAGAACACGUUCGACGGUGAGGGAUGAAAGCUGGGGGAGCAAACCGGAUUAGAUACCCGGGUAGUCCCAGCUGUAAACUAUGCAAACUCAGUGAUGCAUUGGCUUGUGGUCAGUGCAGUGCCGCAGAGAAGUCGUUAAGUUUGCCGCCUGGGAAGUACGUACGCAAGUAUGAAACUUAAAGGAAUUGGCGGGGGAGCACCACAAGGGGUGAAGCCUGCGGUUCAAUUGGAGUCAACGCCAGAAAUCUUACCCGGAGAGACAGCAGGAUGAAGGUCAAGUUGAAGCCUUUACCAGACAAGCUGAGAAGUGGUGCAUGGCCGUCGCCAGCUCGUGCCGUGAGGUGUCCUGUUAAGUCAGGUAACGAGCGAGAUCCUUGCCUCUAGUUGCCACCAUUACUCUCAGGAGUAGUGGGGCGAAUUAGCGGGACUGCCGUAGUUAAUACGGAGGAAGGAGAGGGCCACGGCAGGUCAGUAUGCCCCGAA
rnacentral:rRNA from 1 species